AGCCUCGGAGUGCGGAUUAUC
rnacentral:miRNA from 1 species